GAUCGCAUGAUGAUUGAAUGAAAGCUCCGGCGGUUAGAGAUGGGCAUGCGGGUCAUUAGCUUGUUGGUGAGGUAACGGCUCACCAAGGCUGCGAUGACUAGGGGGCCUGAGAGGGUGAUCCCCCACACUGGUACUGAGACACGGACCAGACUUCUAGCGGAAGGCAGCAGUGAGGAAUAUUGGGCAAUGGAGGCAACUCUGACCCAGCCAUGCCGCGUGCAGGAUGACGGCCCUAUGGGUUGUAAACUGCUUUUCUGAGAGAAGAAUCCCCCCGAAUUUUCGGGGGUUGCCGGUAUCUCAGGAAUAAGCAUCGGCUAACUCCGUGCCAGCAGCCGCGGUAAUACGGAGGAUGCAAGCGUUAUCCGGAUUCAUUGGGUUUAAAGGGUGCGUAGGCGGGAAAGUAAGUCAGUGGUGAAAGCCUGCAGCUCAACUGUGGAACUGCCAUUGAUACUGCUUUUCUUGAGUUUGGUUGAGGUAGGCGGAAUGUGUAAUGUAGCGGUGAAAUGCUUAGAUAUUACACAGAACACCGAUUGCGAAGGCAGCUUACUAAACCGAUACUGACGCUGAUGCACGAAAGCGUGGGGAGCGAACAGGAUUAGAUACCCUGGUAGUCCACGCUGUAAACUAUGAUCACUCGCUGUUGGCAAUACAUCGUCAGCGGCUGAGCGAAAGCAUUAAGUGAUCCACCUGGGGAGUACGGUCGCAAGAUUGAAACUCAAAGGAAUUGACGGGGGCCCGCACAAGCGGUGGAACAUGUGGUUUAAUUCGAUGAUACGCGAGGAACCUUACCUGGGCUUAAAUGUAGACUGCAUUUCCGGGAAACCGGAAUUUCCUUCGGGACCGUCUACAAGGUGCUGCAUGGUUGUCGUCAGCUCGUGCCGUGAGGUGUCGGGUUAAGUCCCAUAACGAGCGCAACCCCUAUCGUUAGUUGCCAGCGAGUAAUGUCGGGGACUCUAGCGAAACUGCCGGUGUAAACCGAGACGAAGGUGGGGAUGACGUCAAAUCAGCACGGCCCUUAUGUCCAGGGCUACACACGUGUUACAAUGGUCAGUACAAAGGGCAGCUACCUGGUGACAGGAUGCUAAUCUCGAAAACUGGUCUCAGUUCGGAUUGGAGUCUGCAAUUCGACUCCAUGAAGCUGGAAUCGCUAGUAAUCGCGCAUCAGC
rnacentral:rRNA from 1 species